rnacentral:lncRNA from 10 species
AAUUUUCCUGCCAUAAAGGUUCUAUAUUCCAGGAUUUGUUCAAGGUUCCUUGUCAUAAAGAACUUCGGAGAAUCCCUUGAACCCAGGAGGCAGAGGCUGCAGUGAACUAAGACUGCGCCAUUGCACUCCAGCCUGAGUGACAGAGUGAAACUCCAUCUGAAAAAAAAAAAAAAAAAAAAAAAAAAAAGAACUUAAGACCUGCUAGUAGUUAAGUUACACGUGGGGAUGCAAUAGAUGUAGGUGACAACAUGGACAGAGUGCGUGCUAUGGAUGCAAAACCCCAAGGCCUGUGGACCACCCUGAGAUGACAGUUCCUCGUGCAGAAGGCACUUUGUGCAGAAGGAGUAAUCUGGGGUACCACAGGUUACCCUCGUGCAAGGCUAUUUUGUAGUACCUAGUUUUUCUCUUCCAGCUGUGCUCUGUUGGCCUCACUAAUAUCAUCAUAAAAGAAGCUCUCUGUUUAUUUCUGAUAUCUCAAGAUACUUUAUCAACAAUGUGGUUACAUUGUUGGUCAUCCCAUAGAUAAACUCAGAUCCCUCUACCUUCCAUGUGUGAGAAGAUUUUGUUCUACAGUUGCUUCUGUCAAACCGUCACAGUCCUGGCGAACUGAGAGGGAGGAACCUUGUGCCUUUGAAAUGUGAUUCACAGUGCUUGGUAAAGUGCCAGUAUUCUCUAAGGCCUUCUGGAGCUUCCGGACUAACACCUUGUAUUCCUGGAACUUGAUGAUGGCUUCAUAGAGGAGAAACCUGAUGUCUUUGAUAAGGUCGGGAAGCUAAGAUUCAGAGAGUUUAAAUGACACCUCUACAAUUGGAAGGCGGCAAGAAGACCGUGCUCCAUUCAUUAUGAUAUUCUGCCUCUGGUCUUCAAAUAGAUCCUCAGGCACAGCCUGGCAUUACUACAAGGAGUCUGGUAAAGAUCAGCGGAUGACUGCAUGAUGUACCCUUGAACUGAAAGUAAAAGAAAGCAAGAUGGAGGAAAGGGUUCCUGCUUGGCCUAUGUGAGCUUGAAGGUCCUUCGGGCUCAAGUCACAUAAAGACAUUAUCAUCACCUCAUUCUUCGAAGCACCUGGCUGUGGAACCUGGAGUGUGAACAAUUGCUGAAUGACAAAUGCUGUAAGCACUGGCCUGCCUUGCCUAAUUAUACAGCUGUCACGGUGCACUGGGCAAUUUUUCUUUCUGA